rnacentral:tRNA from 1 species
GCCGAGGUGGCGGAACGGCAGACGCGCUACGUUCAGGGCGUAGUGCCCUCACGGGCGUGCGAGUUCAAAUCUCGCCCUCGGCACCA